GAAAUGCGAUAAUUAAUGUGAAUUGCAGAAUUCAGGGAAUCAUCGAGUCUUUGAACGCACAUUGCGCCCCCUGGUAUUCCGGGGGGCAUGCCUGUCCGAGCGUCAUUGCUGCCCUCAAGCACGGCUUGUGUGUUGGGCUUCCGUCCCUGGCAACGGGGACGGGCCCAAAAGGCAGUGGCGGCACCAUGUCUGGUCCUCGAGCGUAUGGGGCUUUGUCACCCGCUCCCGUAGGUCCAGCUGGCAGCUAGCCUCGCAACCAAUCUUUUUAACCAGGUUGACCUCGGAUCAGGUAGGGAUACCCGCUGAACUUAAGC
rnacentral:misc_RNA from 1 species